rnacentral:lncRNA from 12 species
AUGCUAAGGAUAUCCAUGUGUAAGAAAGUGCUUUAUAAAAGGACUCCACAGUUCUCACAGGCAGAGGAUACCCAAACCAACCGCAAACAUGAUCCAAGGUUCGCGUUCAGCAAACAACAGGAAAGAUAUUCUCCUCAACAUUUUCCUCUUCCUCCUAGCUACAAAAUUCGAUAAAAGCUUUCAGUUACCACUGAGCGACUGCGGCUCAGAGUACAGACGUCCAGGUAUAGUUUUCAUUUCUGAUUGAAUCACACAGAAAUGAAUUGCUUGUUUACAUCAUAAAAAUACCA